UGUGUCAUUUGGUCUCUUGUGGAGUGUUGUCACAUUGGCAACACAUACCACAUCUUCUUAUUUUUAUAAACAAUAGUACUCUGUGUUUUUUAUCGAUAUUUUUGCUUAUUUAUCUUUCGUUAUUUAAACUACACUAAUCAGUUUUAUUUAGGACUUAAGAAGCCAGUUGAACCCAUUGAUGUCCUUCGUAACCUCUUGUUGGGAGAUAGAGGACAAAACCAGUGCAACGAAGGGUUUUCUUACAAUAAACUGACACGAAAAUGUGAGGAGGAUAAAGAUAGAUCCAAUCUUUCUGAAAGACCAGAGAAGCCAAUUGACCCCAUGUACGUCCUUCGUAACCUUUUAUUGGGAGAUAGAGGAGAAAACCAGUGCAGCGAAGGUUUUUCUUACAAUAAAUUGACAGGAAAAUGUGAAGAAGAUAAUAAUAGAUCCAAGCUUUCUGAAAGAUAUGGAUGUUGUAAUAGUGGCACAAUUGAUUAAAAACAGGAGGAAAAGAUUAUUAUUGUUAUAAAUAAA